GGGUAAUUUUGGGAUAACUUGGUAGGAAUUUAAGAUCUGUGGCGAGGAUUUUGAGGUAAUUUAAGGGGAAUUUGGGGUCUGUGGCGAGGAUUUUGAGGUAAUUCAGUGGGGAAUUUAAGAUCUGUGGCGAGGAUUUUGAGGUAAUUCAGUGGGAAUUUAAGAUCUGUGGCGAGGAUUUUGAGGUAAUUCAGUGGGAAUUUGGGGUCUGUGGCGAGGAUUUUGAGGUAAUUUAAGGGGAAUUUAAGAUCUGUGGCGAGGAUUUUGAGGUAAUUCAGUGGGAAUUUAAGAUCUGUGGCGAGGAUUUUGAGGUAAUUUAAGGGGAAUUUAAGAUCUGUGGCGAGGAUUUUGCGGUAAUUCAGUGGGAAUUUAAGAUCUGUGGCGAGGAUUUUGAGGUAAUUUAAGGGGAAUUUAAGAUCUGUGGCGAGGAUUUUGAGGUAAUUUAAGGGGAAUUUGGGGUCUGUGGCGAGGAUUUUGAGGUAAUUUAAGGGGAAUUUAAGAUCUGUGGCGAGGAUUUUGAGGUAAUUUAAGGGGAAUUUAAGAUCUGUGGCGAGGAUUUUGAGGUAAUUUAAGGGGAAUUUAAGAUCUGUGGCGAGGAUUUUGAGGUAAUUUAAGGGGAAUUUAAGAUCUGUGGCGAGGAUUUUGAGGUAAUUCAGUGGGAAUUCGGGGUCUGUGGCGAGGAUUUUGAGGUAAUUCAGUGGGAAUUUAAGAUCUGUGGCGAGGAUUUUGAGGUAAUUUAAGGGGAAUUUAAGAUCUGUGGCGAGGAUUUUGAGGUAAUUUAAGGGGAAUUUAAGAUCUGUGGCGAGGAUUUUGAGGUAAUUUAAGGGGAAUUUAAGAUCUGUGGCGAGGAUUUUGAGGUAAUUCAGUGGGAAUUCGGGGUCUGUGGCGAGGAUUUUGAGGUAAUUCAGUGGGAAUUUUAAAUCUGUGGCGAGGAUUUUGAGGUAAUUUAAGGGGAAUUUAAGACCUGUGGCGAGGAUUUUGAGGUAAUUCAGUGGGAAUUUAAGAUCUGUGGCGAGGAUUUUGAGGUAAUUCAGUGGGAAUUUGGGGUCUGUGGCGAGGAUUUUGAGGUAAUUCAGUGGGAAUUUGGGGUCUGUGGCGAGGAUUUUGAGGUAAUUCAGUGGGAAUUUGGGGUCUGUGGUGAGGAUUUUGAGGUAAUUUAAGGGGAAUUUAAGAUCUGUGGCGAGGAUUUUGAGGUAAUUUAAGGGGAAUUUAAGAUCUGUGGCGAGGAUUUUGAGGUAAUUCAGUGGGAAUUUGGGGUCUGUGGCGAGGAUUUUGAGGUAAUUUAAGGGGAAUUUAAGAUCUGUGGCGAGGAUUUUGAGGUAAUUCAGUGGGAAUUUGGGGUCUGUGGCGAGGAUUUUGAGGUAAUUUAAGGGGAAUUUAAGAUCUGUGGCGAGGAUUUUGAGGUAAUUUAAGGGGAAUUUAAGAUCUGUGGCGAGGAUUUUGAGGUAAUUCAGUGGGAAUUUGGGGUCUGUGGCGAGGAUUUUGAGGUAAUUUAAGGGGAAUUUAAGAUCUGUGGCGAGGAUUUUGAGGUAAUUUAAGGGGAAUUUGGGGUCUGUGGCGAGGAUUUUGAGGUAAUUUAAGGGGAAUUUAAGAUCUGUGGCGAGGAUUUUGAGGUAAUUUAAGGGGAAUUUAAGAUCUGUGGCGAGGAUUUUGAGGUAAUUUAAGGGGAAUUUAAGAUCUGUGGCGAGGAUUUUGAGGUAAUUUAAGGGGAAUUUGGGGUCUGUGGCGAGGAUUUUGAGGUAAUUCAGUGGGAAUUUGGGGUCUGUGGCGAGGAUUUUGAGGUAAUUCAGUGGGGAUUUGGGGUCUGUGGUGAGGAUUUUGAGGUAAUUCAGUGGGAAUUCGGGGUCCUGGGAGGAUUUGGGGUUGAUUUUGGGGG